rnacentral:tRNA from 1 species
GUUUUAAUAGUUUAAAAAAAACAAUGAUUUUGUAAAUCAUAAAUAUUUAUAUAAUUUAAAACU